rnacentral:rRNA from 1 species
UACAGAGGUCUCAAGCGUUGUUCGGAUUCAUUGGGCGUAAAGGGUGCGUAGGCGGCGCGGUAAGUCGGGUGUGAAAUCUCGGGGCUUAACUCCGAAACUGCAUUCGAUACUGCCGUGCUUGAGGACUGGAGAGGAGACUGGAGUUUACGGUGUAGCGGUGAAAUGCGUAGAUAUCGUAAGGAAGACCAGUGGCGAAGGCGGGUCUCUGGACAGUUCCUGACGCUGAGGCACGAAGGUCAGGGGGAGCAAACGGG